rnacentral:lncRNA from 10 species
GUGGAGUGGAGACUGCAGAGGGAGAUAAAGAGAGAGGGCAAAGAGGCAGCAAGAGAUUUGUCCUGGGGAUCCAGAAACCCAUGAUACCCUACUGAACACCGAAUCCCCUGGAAGCCCACAGAGACAGAGACAGCAAGAGAAGCAGAGAUAAAUACACUCACGCCAGGAGCUCGCUCGCUCUCUCUCUCUCUCUCUCACUCCUCCCUCCCUCUCUCUCUGCCUGUCCUAGUCCUCUAGUCCUCAAAUUCCCAGUCCCCUGCACCCCUUCCUGGGACACUAUGUUGUUCUCCGCCCUCCUGCUGGAGGUGAUUUGGAUCCUGGCUGCAGAUGGGGGUCAACACUGGACGUAUGAGGGUGAGCAGAUCUCAAGGCCUCCCGACAACCCUUUCACACUGGGACCUCCUCACCUGGCAGGAAGACACACUGUGCGGGUGGGAGGAGACUUCCUUUACCUUCUCACCCUAGCUCCUCCCUUCUGGAUCUCCUCCUGCCUUGAGUUUCACAUAUAUGGCUCCUAGAUCCUGCUCUAAUCAUCAAAUCCUACACCUCCUGAUUUGGCAGAAAAGCUAGUUAAGUCCUCAGUAAAUCGUGUAGGAGUGAGGGAGCUGGGGUGGAAAGGAAGCUGGGUGGGAACUCUGAGCUUAGCUGCCAGGUCUCCUUCUGGCUCCGUCUAUCCUAAUCCAUCCUACCCCUAACCUGCAUCUGAAAUUGGGACAGAGCUGGAGGUCAGGGGUGAGGAAGAGGCUGGCAGGAUAGUUUCUGACCCUGGGGGAGGUGGAACUCAGUUCCUAUGAACUACUGAUUAAUGACUUAACCAAACUCAAGUUCAUGAUAAACGGUCAGUGUGAGAGCAAGAAGUGAAUGAUGAGAAGUCAGGAUAUCUGAAUCCCAAGGCCACUUGAUAGGGGCCUCCAGGAGACCGUAUCUCUCUAGGUUUUUUUUUUUUUUUUUUUUUUUGACACAGAGUCUUGCUCUGUCACCCAGGCUGGAGUGCAGUGGCGCAAUCUGGGCUCACUGCAAACUCCACCUCCUGGGUUUAAGUGAUUCUCCUGCCUCAGCUUCUCGAGUAGCUGGGAUUACAGGUGCCCACCACCACGUCUGGCUAAUUUUUGCAUUUUUAGUAGAGAUGGGGUUUCACCAUGUUGGCCAGGCUGGUCUCGAACUCCUGACCUCAAGCGAUCCACCUGCCUCGGCCUCCCAAAGUGCUGGGAUUACAGGCAUGAGCCACUGUGCCUGGCCUAUCUAGGAUCAUUUUAUUUCUCCCAUUUUUCUACUCCUACUCUCUAAUCCCAUCUCUCAGGGUAUUCAGGUUUUCUAUGCAUCCCCUCUGCCCUCAUUCAGCUUUCUUGUCCUCAAAAUACAGGUAAGUAAAAGAGCUACCACUCCCCAUUCAUCAGGAUAGUUGGGGAAUCAUCACUGCCUCUGGGUAGGGAAGGGGAACUGCAGCAUGAGACUCAACAGGACUCCUACCUCACCCAUCCCUAUACAACUGGGGUCUUAACCUGGGUGGA